rnacentral:ncRNA from 1 species
AGGGCUGGUCUAGAGACCCUAGCCCACCGAAAGGCGGGGGCCUUCCCC